UUGUAGCAUACAAGGCAUACGGCUCAGUAACGCGUAGUCAACCUAACCUAUGGACGGGAAUAACCUCGGGAAACUGAGAAUAAUGCCCGAUAGAACAUUAUGCCUGGAAUGGUUUAUGUUCCAAAUGAUUUAUCGCCGUAGGAUGGGACUGCGGCCUAUCAGUUUGUUGGUGAGGUAAUGGCCCACCAAGACUAUUACAGGUACGGGCUCUGAGAGGAGUAGCCCGGAGAUGGGUACUGAGACACGGACCCAGGCCCUAUGGGGCGCAGCAGGCGAGAAAACUUUGCAAUGUGCGAAAGCACGACAAGGUUAAUCCGAGUGGUUUCUGCUAAAGAAACCUUUUGUCAGUCCUAGAGACACUGAUGAAUAAGGGGUGGGCAAGUUCUGGUGUCAGCCGCCGCGGUAAAACCAGCACCUCAAGUGGUCAGGAUGAUUAUUGGGCCUAAAGCAUCCGUAGCCGGCUCUGUAAGUUUUCGGUUAAAUCUGUACGCUCAACGUACAGGCUGCCGGGAAUACUGCAGAGCUAGGGAGUGGGAGAGGUAGACGGUACUCGGUAGGAAGGGGUAAAAUCCUUUGAUCUAUUGAUGACCACCUGUGGCGAAGGCGGUCUACCAGAACACGUCCGACGGUGAGGGAUGAAAGCUGGGGGAGCAAACCGGAUUAGAUACCCGGGUAGUCCCAGCUGUAAACUAUGCAAACUCAGUGAUGCAUUGGCUUGUGGCCAAUGCAGUGCUGCAGGGAAGCCGUUAAGUUUGCCGCCUGGGAAGUACGUACGCAAGUAUGAAACUUAAAGGAAUUGGCGGGGGAGCACCACAAGGGGUGAAGCCUGCGGUUCAAUUGGAGUCAACGCCGGA
rnacentral:rRNA from 1 species